AACGAACGCUGGCGGCGCGCUUAACACAUGCAAGUCGAACGGUCCUGAUAGAGCCGUAAGGUGAUAUCGGGAUAGUGGCAAACGGGUGAGUAAUACGUGGAUAAUCUGCCCUUGAGUGGGGGGUAACUCUACGAAAGUGGAGCUAAUACCGCGAAGACUACAGAAUCGCAGGAUUCAGUAGUAAAAGGUUCCGGUUUACCGGAGUCGCUCAAGGAUGAGUCCGCGCCUGAUUAGCUAGUUGGUAGGGUAAUAGCCUACCAAGGCAACGAUCAGUAGCCGGCCUGAAAGGGUUUCGGCCACAUUGGAAUUGAGAUACGGUCCAGACUCCUACGGGAGGCAGCAGUGGGGAAUCUUGCGCAAUGGGGGAAACCCUGACGCAGUGACGCCGCGUGAACGAUGAAGUCCUUCGGGAUGUAAAGUUCUGUCAGGCGGGAAGAACCCCCCGAUUUAAUCGGGGAAUGACGGUACCGCCAAAGGAAGCACUGGCUAAUUCCGUGCCAGCAGCCGCGGUAACACGGAGAGUGCAAGCGUUGUUCGGAAUUACUAGGCGUAAAGAGCGUGUAGGUGGUUAGCUAAGUCGGAUGUGAAAAUCCCAAGCUUAACUUGGAACGUGCAUUCGAAACUGGUUAACUUGAGUGUAGGAGAGGAGAGCGGAAUUCCUAGUGUAGCGGUGAAAUGCGUAGAUAUUAGGAAGAACACCGGUGGCGAAGGCGGCUCUCUGGCCUGAAACUGACACUGAGACGCGAAAGCGUGGGUAGCGAACAGGAUUAGAUACCCUGGUAGUCCACGCCGUAAACGAUGGGCAUUAGGUGUAGGAGGUACCCAAUCCUUCUGUGCCGAAGUUAACGCAUUAAAUGCCCCGCCUGGGGAGACGACCGCAAGGUU
rnacentral:rRNA from 1 species